CGACACGAGUUGUUGCUGGUCCUCGAANGGNGGCAUGUGCACGCUCUGUUUGCACAUCCACUCACACCUGUGCACGCUCUGUAGUUCUGUGGCUUGAGGGCCCCCCGUCCUCUUGCUGCGGUUCUAUGUCUUUACACACACAC
rnacentral:misc_RNA from 1 species